rnacentral:rRNA from 1 species
AGUAAUGCGUGACCAACCUGCCCCAUGCUCCAGAAUAGCUCUUGGAAACGGGUGGUAAUGCUGGAUGCUCCAACUUGACGCAUGUCUUGUUGGGAAAGUGUUUAGUGGCAUGGGAUGGGGUCGCGUCCUAUCAGCUUGUAGGCGGGGUAAUGGCCCACCUAGGCUUCGACGGGUAGCCGGCCUGAGAGGGCGGACGGCCACAUUAGGGACUGAGAUACGGCCCAGACUCCUACGGGAGGCAGCAGCA